GAUGAAUGCUGGCGGCGUGCCUAAUACAUGCAAGUCGAGCGAACAGACGAGGAGCUUGCUCCUCUGACGUUAGCGGCGGACGGGUGAGUAACACGUGGAUAACCUACCUAUAAGACUGGGAUAACUUCGGGAAACCGGAGCUAAUACCGGAUAAUAUAUUGAACCGCAUGGUUCAAUAGUGAAAGACGGUUUUGCUGUCACUUAUAGAUGGAUCCGCGCCGCAUUAGCUAGUUGGUAAGGUAACGGCUUACCAAGGCAACGAUGCGUAGCCGACCUGAGAGGGUGAUCGGCCACACUGGAACUGAGACACGGUCCAGACUCCUACGGGAGGCAGCAGUAGGGAAUCUUCCGCAAUGGGCGAAAGCCUGACGGAGCAACGCCGCGUGAGUGAUGAAGGUCUUCGGAUCGUAAAACUCUGUUAGUAGGGAAGAACAAAUGUGUAAGUAACUAUGCACGUCUUGACGGUACCUAAUCAGAAAGCCACGGCUAACUACGUG
rnacentral:rRNA from 1 species